GACGAACGCUGGCGGCGUGCUUAACACAUGCAAGUCGAACGGAAAGGCCCUGCUUGCAGGGUACUCGAGUGGCGAACGGGUGAGUAACACGUGGGUGAUCUGCCCUGCACUUCGGGAUAAGCCUGGGAAACUGGGUCUAAUACCGGAUAGGAGCCAUUUUUAGUGUGAUGGUUGGAAAGUUUUUUCGGUGUAGGAUGAGCUCGCGGCCUAUCAGCUUGUUGGUGGGGUAAUGGCCUACCAAGGCGGCGACGGGUAGCCGGCCUGCGAGGGUGGACGGCCACAUUGGGACUGAGAUACGGCCCAGACUCCUACGGGAGGCAGCAGUGGGGAAUAUUGCACAAUGGGCGCAAGCCUGAUGCAGCGACGCCGCGUGGGGGAUGACGGCCUUCGGGUUGUAAACUCCUUUCGCUAGGGACGAAGCUUUUGUGACGGUACCUAGAGAAGAAGCACCGGCUAACUACGUG
rnacentral:rRNA from 1 species